AUAAAAUUGUUGACGGGUUUAGUGCCUACCUACUUAAGGGGACACUAUAGUCACCAAUACAACUUUAGCUUAAUGAAGCAGUGUUGGUGUAUAGAUCAUGCCUCUGCAGUCUCACUGCUCAAUUCUCUGCCAUUUAGGAGUUAAAUUACUUUGUUUAUGAACCACUGUCACACCUCCCUGCAUGUGACUUGCACAGCCUCCCCAAACACUUCCUGUAAAAAGUAAUCUACCGUUUAUCCGUCCUUCAUUCCAAGUUCUGUAUAAUUUAGGUUUUCUCAUCCCCUGCUAUGUUUAUAGCUUGCUAGACCCAGCAAUAGCCUCCUGUAAGUGAUUAAAGUUCAAUUUACAGGGAAAGAGAUACAAUUGUUUAAGGUAAAUUACAUCUGAUUAAAAGUGAAACCAGUUUUUUUUUUUUUUUCAUGCAGGCUGUGUCAAUCAGAGCCAUGGAGGUGUGACAAGGGCUGCAUAAACAGAAACAAAGUGAUUUAACUCCUAAAAGGCAAUGAAUUGAGCAGUGAAACCUGAGGGGCAUGAUGUACACACAAAAACUGCUUAAUUCAGCUAAAGUUGUUUAGGUGACUAUAAUGUUACUUUAAUAUACUUUUAAGAAAUUUAAGUAUGUAGUUUAAGUAUGUAAUUCCAAAAUGAAGAAGAGAAAAAAAUUAAGUUUCCCACCCUCCGAUAUUAAAGAAACACUCCAAGGACCAUAAUCACUACAGCUUGAUGUCCUGUUUAUGGUGCUGGAGUGACCUGGCACUCUCCCAGAGUAGUCAAAGUUUUUAAGCUAAAGUUGUUUUAGUGACUAUAGUAUUCCUUUAAACAGCAAGUGGUCAAUUGUACCAACUACCACUCAUGAAUUUGAACGAGCCUUUUGGCUAUAUAUAGGCUUGGCUUACAUGUUGAACACUAGAGAUUAUGAGUUUAUUCAUUAAGACUAGAAGUAACAAAUUGCACAUUUUGGAACACAUAGCUGAAUUAGAGAACAUUUCUAAUACGGCUACUUUUUUUUUAAACCAGGCUAUUUUAGCAUAAAUUUGCAAUUUGUUCGUAAAACAUGGUGUGUAAACAAAUCCCUGUGUAUAUGACUUGUUUACUGAGUAUCUGUAUUGAUUGGCAUAUAUUAGAGGACCUGUGAAAUCCUUCAUUACGAAGCUCUACAAGGGAAGAAAGGAUGUCCCCAGUCUAAUCCUGGCUCAUUAGGAGGAACAUGUCAUUUCAUUCUGUAUGAAGCAACGGGUAGGUUUUUCUUGGAGAAACAGCUUGUUUAAAACAUAACAUUCUUGGGCCCUCUGGGACCAGAAAAACUGCUUGUUUUAAAUAGUGCAUCCUUGGGCCCUCUGAGACCAGCAUUUAAAUUGAAGCUGGACAUUGAUGAUAUUGGGAAAUAAGGGUUUACAAAGGUAAGUGCAAUCGCAUAUACUUUUUUUUCUCCAUAAAUAUAUUAACUACAGCCUGAGAUAGGAGGUGGCGUUAUUGGAUCAUAUGUGAGAUAUAUAAGCAUUGAUGUGUGAUUCUACAUUUAUAAUUGGGGAUCAAUUAAUGGAACUCAAUGUUUAAAUUUCAUUAAUACUUGCAUUAAAAUAGCGAAUUGAGCUGAGAUUUAUAAUGUCUGAUAUCUGCUGCAACUAUAUUCCUAGUCCUGCUUGUUGUAUGCCGAUGAUAUAUUACAUUUUAAUAUUGCUUAAGAGUAAUGCAGUGUUGUAACUCUUUGGUGUAUUUGUUUAUUGGCGUUCCGCACAUUGGUAUAUUCCAGGUCAGGGACAGAAAGAGGCGAUUGAAGAGAGUUUAAAUUUAAUUAAAGAUUGCAUAUCAGGUGCCUUAAUGCCAUACUUGCUGGACUCCAGGACGCUUGCCUAUCUGAUAAGAGCCACAGGUGUCAAUUUUAUAAACAUACAGUGUUUCAUCGUGGCUGGGGCAAUUGUUUU